rnacentral:rRNA from 1 species
AGUGAACGCUGGCGGUAGGCCUAACACAUGCAAGUCGAACGGCAGCACAGGAGAGCUUGCUCUCUGGGUGGCGAGUGGCGGACGGGUGAGGAAUACAUCGGAAUCUACUCCGUCGUGGGGGAUAACGUAGGGAAACUUACGCUAAUACCGCAUACGACCUACGGGUGAAAGCAGGGGACCUUCGGGCCUUGCGCGAUUGAAUGAGCCGAUGUCGGAUUAGCUAGUUGGCGGGGUAAAGGCCCACCAAGGCGACGAUCCGUAGCUGGUCUGAGAGGAUGAUCAGCCACACUGGAACUGAGACACGGUCCAGACUCCUACGGGAGGCAGCAGUGGGGAAUAUUGGACAAGGGGCGCAAGCCUGUUCCAGCCAUACCGCGUGGGUGAAGAAGGCCUUCGGGUUGUAAAGCCCUUUUGUUGGGAAAGAAAUCCAGCUGGCUAAUACCCGGUUGGGAUGACGGUACCCAAAGAAUAAGCACCGGCUAACUUCGUGCCAGCCGCCGCGAUAA